rnacentral:rRNA from 1 species
AACGUAGGAGGCAAGCGUUAUCCGGAUUCACUGGGCGUAAAGCGCGUGUAGGCGGCCGCGUAAGUCGGGCGUGAAAUCCCACAGCUCAACUGUGGAAGUGCACUCGAAACUGUGCGGCUAGAGUCCUGGAGAGGAAGGUGGAAUACUUGGUGUAGAGGUGAAAUUCGUAGAUAUCAAGUGGAACACCGGUGGCGAAGGCGGCCUUCUGGACAGUGACUGACGCUGAGACGCGAAAGCGUGGGGAGCAAACAGG